UGGUUCUGGCAUCGAUGAAGAACGCAGCGAAAUGCGAUAAGUAAUGCGAAUUGCAGAAUUUCCGUGAGUCAUCGAAUCUUUGAACGCACAUUGCGCCCUUUGGCAUUCCGAAGGGCAUGCCUGUUCGAGCGUCAUUAUCCUCUCUCAAACCUCGCGUUUGGUGUUGGACCGCGUUGAGCCCCGUUGCUCAACUGGUCUCAAAGACAAUGACGGCGUCCCAGGGACCCUCUUCGCACUGAGCUUUCCGGAGCACGCGUUGAGUUAACGGGACCAGGGACCCGGUCGCCUAUAAAACUAUUUUGUAAGGUUGACCUCGGAUCAGGUAGGAAUACCCGCUGA
rnacentral:misc_RNA from 1 species